UACCAGCACCCCGAGGGGUCGGGACGAUUAUUGGGCCUAAAGCAUCCGUAGCCGGUUCUACAAGUCUUCCGUUAAAUCUACCUGCUCAACAGUUGGGCUGCGGAGGAUACUAUAGAGCUAGGAGGCGGGAGAGGCAAGCGGUACUCAGUGGGUAGGGGUAAAAUCCGUUGAUCCACUGAAGACCACCAGUGGCGAAGGCGGCUUGCCAGAACGCACUCGACGGUGAGGGAUGAAAGCUGGGGGAGCAAACCGG
rnacentral:rRNA from 1 species